rnacentral:lncRNA from 10 species
GAAGCAGAGGGGACGAUGAGGUGCGGAGGCGUUGGCAGUUGACUUUUGCUGAUGGAGCCUCUCUGAAGGGCAAAUUCAAAGUACAGCUGGGUGCUGCAGCACUGGAGUGCGAACUUGUGGCUGUGGUUAUGAAGGAGCCUCGUCAGCUAUGCCUUUAGCCCCUGGUGAAGCAGUGCCAGUCACACUUUGCCAGUCAAACGGAGAGGCAGCAGUAGUAAGACCAGACCAAAUCAAACCAAACCAAGCAAACCACGGGGAAUGGAGGUCAUGUGAGCACACAGCAUAAAGGCAGCUGCCCACAAGCCAGGAAGAGAAGCAUCAUCAGAAACCGACCAUACUGGCUUCCUGAUCUCAGACUUUCAGCCUCCAGAAUGAUUAUUGCCUGCUCCUCCAAGCCCUUCACUGUAGAAUGGAAGCCUGUGAUUUUCCUGGCAUCAUGCAUGACUGAGAAGGUCAGUGUGGCUAAUUCUGAGCUUCAACAUCAGGAAACCCGUAGUUCUUCACACUGAGCCGCCUCCUGCAGCACAGUCAUCCUUGGUAAUAAAGCUGAUAUUUUAAUCAAUA